CGAACGGGUGAGUAACGCGUGAGGAACCUGCCUUUCAGUGGGGGACAACAGUUGGAAACGACUGCUAAUACCGCAUAAUGCUUUUUGAUGGCAUCAUUGAAAAGCCAAAGAUUUAUUGCUGAAAGAUGGCCUCGCGUCUGAUUAGGCAGUUGGUGAGGUAACGGCCCACCAAACCUACGAUCAGUAGCCGGUCUGAGAGGAUGAACGGCCACACUGGAACUGAGACACGGUCCAGACUCCUACGGGAGGCAGCAGUGGGGAAUCUUCCGCAAUGGGCGAAAGCCUGACGGAGCAACGCCGCGUGAGUGAUGACGGCCUUCGGGUUGUAAAGCUCUGUGAUCGGGGACGAACGGUCCGUAAGCUAAUACCUUAUGGAAGUGACGGUACCCGAAUAGCAAGCCACGGCUAACUACGUG
rnacentral:rRNA from 1 species